rnacentral:rRNA from 1 species
AUGAGCUGCAGGAAGUCGCCGACGUUCACCACCAGCGCCCCGGCCACCGGCGGCACGUCCACCCACGCCGCCGCGCCGUCGAGGUCGACGAGCACCUGGAGGCCGCCGACGGCGUCCUGGAGGAGCACGGUGAGGAAGCUGGCGUCGGUGUGCCGCGGGGUGCCGAGGGUGAGCUGCGGCUCCGGGCAGGCCGGGUAG